rnacentral:rRNA from 1 species
UACGUAGGGUGCGAGCGUUAAUCGGAAUUACUGGGCGUAAAGCGUGCGCAGGCGGUCUGUUAAGACCGAUGUGAAAUCCCAGGGCUCAACCUUGGAACUGCAUUUGUGACUGCAUCGCUGGAGUGCGGCAGAGGGGGAUGGAAUUCCGCGUGUAGCAGUGAAAUGCGUAGAUAUGCGGAGGAACACCGAUGGCGAAGGCAAUCCCCUGGGCCUGCACUGACGCUCAUGCACGAAAGCGUGGGGAGCAAACAGG